rnacentral:lncRNA from 1 species
UAUUUUAUAUAAUUUUAUUAUAUAAUUAGUAUAUUUUAUAAGCAGUUGAAAAUCAUAUAAAAAGAUUUCUACAUUGUAUAUUUUGUUAAUUUAGUUCUAGUUCGAAUCAUAGUUUUAAUUUCGAAUAAAUUAGUUUGUAUUUAAAUUAAUUAUUUUAUUUUUGUUAAAGUUAAGAAGCUCGCUAAUUGAUUAAGGUUAAUUCGUCUUAUUUAACUUUUCGUCGAAUUCACCAAAUUAAUUCAAAUCGGCUAUGUCCUUAAUUUUAUAUGGCUAUAAUUGCAAUCCAUUUAGCCAUUUUAUAUUUGCAAAAUCUAGCCCAUUUGUCACAAGCCUAACAAUUUCAUUCAACUCUAUUUUGGGUCUUUUUACAAUCCAAUUAAAAGACCAUUUUCUGGGCCAAAUCCAACCCCUUUCCAGCAGCCCAAUUCCCAGUUCACAAGACAAAAUUCCAGCCCACAUACAAUACAGAUGCAGCAGCCAUACGUACAGCAUAACCAACCCCACCCUCUUUAUUUUUCCAGCAAUUUCCAGCAACAUACAACAAUACAAGCAACCCACCACCGACCCAACCAAUUAAUCCCCUAACCCGGCCCAACCCUAAUCCAAAUUAACUUCAAUAGCAGCUCCAGAACGGCAACAACAUCCCAGCAAAACAGAAGCAGUGAUACAACACCCAAACAGCACCCAUCCGACUCCAGCACACUUUUCUUCCUCCUCACGUCCCUUUCGAUUAGUACUAACACCGCAGCUAGCACGCGCUCUACCCCC